GGGAUUACCAGUACGAGUAUCGUGAGUUCGAUUCGCAUCAGAGACAUCGACUCUUAAAACAAUGCCUUAUUUGGAUUAACUUAUAAAGGGCGAUUUUUUUAGCUAUUAUCUUUUUGGAAACACUGGGUUAAACAGCUCAUGCUUUUGGUUCAGUGUCAAAUAUCUCCAUAAUUUUACCAUGAAUCAUCUUACAAACGAACAACGCUUAAAUUUUAUUUUAAAAAUCAUCGUAUGGUCAGUUUAGUUGACCCACUGAAGCGGCUAUUCGGGCUAUUGUGUCUAAAUUUCGCACCAAUAUUACAUUGUUGAACAUUAAACUACCAACACGUUUACGUAGAGUGCGAACUGAAGAAAAUAUCGCAGCUGUAUCGACCGGAGUUAAUAAUGACCAUAAAUUAUCGAUUCGGCGCCGUUCGCAGCAAUUGGGCCCCUGUUAUUCAAAAAACUGAAAAAUUUUGCGGCAGGAUUUGGGUGUGAAACCUUUCAAAAUACAGCUGAUGCAAGAAUUAAAACCGAACGAUCUACUGCAGCGCAGAAUUUCUGGUGAAUGUGCUCUUGGAAAGUUGGCCUAAGAUCUACUUUUUCAUCGAAAACUUGUGUUCAGCGACGAAGCUCAUUUUUGGCUCAAUGUAUACACAAAUAAUCAGAAUUGUCGAUUUUGGAGUGAAGAUCAGCCAGAAGCAUUACAAGAACUACCAAUGGAUCCAGAAAAAGCCACAGUUUGGUGCGGUUUAUAGACUGGUGGUAUCAUUGAACCGUACUUCUUCAAAGAUGAUGCGAAUCGUAACGUAACUGUGAAUGGUGAGCGCUACCGUGAUAUGAUAUCCAAGCCUUUUUUACCCAAAAUGCAAGACCUUGAUUUAUAUGGCAUGUGGUUUCAACAAGACGUUGCCAUAUGCCACCCAGCACGCGUAACAAUGGCCUUAUUGAGAAGUGAGUUAGGUGAACAUUUUAUUUCAAGUUCUGGACCGGUCAAUUGGCCGCCUAGAUCGUGCAAUUUAACGCCUUUAGAAUAUUUUUUGUGGGGAUAUGCUAAAGCUCAUGUCUAUACAGACAAGCCCACUUCAUUUGAAUUUUUGGAAGACAACAUUGAAGGAUUUAUUCGUGAGAUACCGCCCGAAAUGUUGGAAAGAGUAUGCCAAAAUUGAACUUAGCGGAUGGACCAUUUGAGGCGCAGUCACAGUCACCAUUUGCAUGAAACAAUCUUCAAACAUUAAAUUAUAUGGAACGUACUGUCGAUUCAAAGAAAGAUUAAAUGGUUUUUUCUGAA